rnacentral:lncRNA from 1 species
CCCACCUCGGCCUCCCAAAGUGCUGGGAUUACAGGCGUGAGCGACCGCGCCCAGCCGAACUUCUGCCUCUUAAAUCCAGGGUUCUCCCUGUCAGUACAGUGAGGUGGUAACUAGCAAAAGCUAUGAGAUAUGACUGCCUGGGUACAUAUCCCAGCUCUUUCACUUAUCUUUGUGGCUUUACGCAAAUUACUUAACCUCUUUAUGAUUGUUUCUUCAUUUGUAAAAGGAAGAUAAUAACAGUGCCUAUAUAUAGGGUUUUUAUGAAGAAUAAAUGAGAUAGUAUAUAUAAAGCACUUAGAACAGUAUCUGGCACAUACUAGGUGCUCAAUAAAUGUUAGCGAUGACAUUUAUUACUGUCCCACAUUGAGCUGGUGUUUGUUAAACACUGGAUGACUGGAUAAAAUGUACAUCUUUCAUGCAGAGAUUGCUCGAUUAUCCAUUUCACUGAUUCAGGAUCAGAGUCUCUUAAGAAUCCAGAGAGGGGAUGUUGAAGCCCUAAGAAGUAAAAACACUAAAAUGAUAACAUUUUGACCUUUUGAAAACUCUUUGAAGUGGCAAUGGCCACAAAAUUGAGCGGAAACCAAACAUAUUCAGCCCCAUUUCCAGAUAAAUUGGAUUUGCUAAACCACUCAGAAUAACAAGAGCAAGAAUUAGAUGUUCAGCUAAGCUCUAGCUUCUGAUCCUAGAUGGUGGCAAUAACAACGAUAGUAUUAAUGAUAAUAGCAGAAACUCUUAAUAUGUGUGAGGCAUUCUUCUAAAUGCUUUACAUAUAUUAAUUUAAUGUUCAUCGGAGCAGAUUCUCCUACUGUAUCCAAGAGAUCAGAAAUUCAGAGCAAAAAGCAGAUUGCUGCCUGAUAGCAGAUCCACUCUAGGAAUGGGGAGAUUUUCUCAUAAAUCUAAUGACUGGUGAAAGUGACAAGAGGUUAGUCCACUCAGUGUUGGAAAGGACAAGAUCCUAGAAAGUGGAAAUGCUCCACUAUUGCUUUAGGGGGAACAGCCUGGCUACAACUGGGCAGACUUUCUAUUACUAACAUCAGGAUAAUAGGGAAGCUCCUGCCAAUGCUGCAUAGAACUAAGAACACUUAGCAGUGAUGGCUGACUUCCAACUGAGCCAUUAAGGUAAGUGUAGAAGAAAGCUCCAGGUAGAAAUAUCUUUGGGAACUCAGAGAACACACUGAGUGUUUGAAGCUGGUACUUAAUCUAUUAUUGAACUCAGAGUUUGCCAUUCUGGGGCCAAUUUGAGUCCACUUAUGACACCUCCCACAGCACUGCUCAUUUCUGUUAACUGGGCUUCACAGAGGGUGAGAAGGGCAGCAAUCAGAUCAUAUAAUUGGGCCUCAUUGUAAUAAAAUGUUGAUUUCUGUUGUCCUUGGACUUCCUUCCAGCCACAAUCACUCUAUGAUCUUGUCUGAGAUUCUUUUUCCUUUCUCUCUCCAUUUUGCUGACUGUAAUGGAAUAAUAGCAGAAGCUCUCAAUCUGUAUGAGGAAUAUAUAUGAAGAAUGUGUAACAUUCACUGUGUUUCCUAAUAGAUGAAUUAUCUAAAGGACACCUCUUAAGAAGAGAUGAGAUGGAGCCAACUGUCAGAAAAAAAAAUGGGUGAAGAAAGUUUCAAGGAGAAGACUCCACAGAGCAGAAUGGGAAAGAUGGCCAGGAGAAAAGUGAGAUAAUAAAAGGAAAAGCAGUCCCUGACACAGAAGGCAGUGCUGUUCCUGAUAAGACACAUGACACAAAAUAUGGUUUUGCUGAGUAUCAAGUUUACUGAGGCUGCCUGGGAACUUGAGCUGUCAGCCAAACAGGAAGAAGGGCCCUUCUGCCUACUCCAAAAGGCCUCAGUCAAAUGGAUAUGUUUACUGAGGCUGCCUGGGAGCUGUCAGCCAAACAGGAAGAAGGGCCCUUCUGCCUAACUCCAAAAGGCCUAAGUCAAAUGGAUAUGGUGAGAUUUAAUGAUGGAUAUAAAUUACAGCAAAUGGAUUUCCUAUAGAGUGAGGGAAAAAAAAAAUCCAGCUACUCCGGAGACUGAGGCAGAAUUGCGAGAACCCGGCAGGUGGUUGCAGU